GCCGAGAUAGCUCAGUUGGGAGAGCAGCAGACUGAAGCACUCACUAGCGUUUUCUGAAGGUCGGGCGUUCGAUCCGCCCUCUUGGCA